UACGGAGGGGGCUAGCGUUGUUCGGAAUUACUGGGCGUAAAGCGCACGUAGGCGGCUUUGUAAGUAAGAGGUGAAAGCCUGGUGCUCAACACCAGAACUGCCUUUUAGACUGCAUCGCUUGAGUCCAGGAGAGGUGAGUGGAAUUCCGAGUGUAGAGGUGAAAUUCGUAGAUAUUCGGAAGAACACCAGUGGCGAAGGCGGCUCACUGGACUGGUAUUGACGCUGAGGUGCGAAAGCGUGGGGAGCAAACAGG
rnacentral:rRNA from 1 species